CAGCCGCCGCGGGAAUACGUAGGUGGCAAGCGUUGUCCGGAAUUAUUGGGCGUAAAGGGCUCGCAGGCGGUUUCUUAAGUCUGAUGUGAAAGCCCCCGGCUCAACCGGGGAGGGUCAUUGGAAACUGGGAAACUUGAGUGCAGAAGAGGAGAGUGGAAUUCCACGCGUAGCGGUGAAAUGCGUAGAGAUGUGGAGGAACACCAGUGGCGAAGGCGACUCUCUGGUCUGUAACUGACGCUGAGGAGCGAAAGCGUGGGGAGCGAACAGGAUUAGAGACCCCCGUAGUCCCUGUCUCUUAUAC
rnacentral:rRNA from 1 species